UAACGCUCUGACGGAGCUCGAAAAUCAAAAAAUUCUGGUCUACUCUACAAAAAAUAAUAGUGGCCACCUGUAC